UGUGUGGUCCGGUGAGGAUUUGGAAGG
rnacentral:piRNA from 1 species